rnacentral:rRNA from 1 species
ACCUAAGAGAUUAGGCGUUCCCUUCGGGGACGGAAUGACAGGUGGUGCAUGGUUGUCGUCAGCUCGUGUCGUGAGAUGUUGGGUUAAGUCCCGCAACGAGCGCAACCCUUAUUGUCAGUUGCCAGCAUUUAGUUGGGCACUCUGGCGAGACUGCCGGUGACAAACCGGAGGAAGGUGGGGAUGACGUCAAAUCAUCAUGCCCCUUAUGACCUGGGCUACACACGUGCUACAAUGGACGGUACAACGAGUCGCGAAACCGCGAGGUCAAGCUAAUCUCUUAAAGCCGUUCUCAGUUCGGAUUGAAGGCUGCAACUCGCCUUACAUGAAAUUGGAAUCCCUAGGUAAUCGUGGAUCACCAUGCCCACGGUUAAAUACUUUCCCCGGGUCUUGUUACACCCCGAAAAUAAAAUUCUCGUAGGCCCCCCAAUG